GCAGCAAAUCUUGAACAACAUUUUUGAAAGUAACGUGAUAAAGAUGUCAAGGAUAUACAAGGAUAUACUUGUCACAUUGCUGACACGUGCGAAACUUGUAAUCUCUACAGCUCUCCAAAGUUUUAUACUUAUACACAAGCUGUUUCCCUCCUACUAAGAUUAUGGCAAUAAAAAAUCAUGCGUGGGCUUGUGAAAUUGGUGAUAUGUACAUGUAAGGAUCUGGC